UCCCACCCUUUGUGUACCUACCUCUGUUGCUUUGGCGGGCCGCGGUCCUCCGCGGCCGCCCCCCUCCCCGGGGGGGUGGCCAGCGCCCGCCAGAGGACCAUCAAACUCCAGUCAGUAAACGAUGCAGUCUGAAAAACAUUUAAUAAACUAAAACUUUCAACAACGGAUCUCUUGGUUCUGGCAUCGAUGAAGAACGCAGCGAAAUGCGAUAAGUAAUGUGAAUUGCAGAAUUCAGUGAAUCAUCGAAUCUUUGAACGCACAUUGCGCCCUUUGGUAUUCCGAAGGGCAUGCCUGUUCGAGCGUCAUUACAACCCUCAAGCUCUGCUUGGUAUUGGGCACCGUCCUUUGCGGGCGCGCCUCAAAGACCUCGGCGGUGGCGUCUUGCCUCAAGCGUAGUAGAACAUACAUCUCGCUUCGGAGCGCAGGGCGUCGCCCGCCGGACGAACCUUCUGAACUUUUCUCAAGGUUGACCUCGGAUCAGGUAGGGAUACCCGCUGAACUUAAGCAUAUCAAUAAGCGGAGGAA
rnacentral:rRNA from 1 species